ACUAACAUGUGAUAAAACAUAUAUAUUUUGGCUCUGUGUAUUUGACUGUUAUGCUCUUAGGGCAGCAUCACACCAUUCCAUCAAUGGAAUGUUUCCUCCGGAAAAGAGAAAUAGAAGAGAGAUAGGCCACUAAUGUGUAAUAUCACCAGUAUAAAAUCAAUAAAAUAUUAAAUUAGGUAUUGAGCUCACCUUUUAUAUAGUCUAAGUUCCUGGCACUUUCCCCAAUGAAGAUUCCUG